CUUAACUGGGCGUUAAGUUGCAGGGUAUAGACCCGAAACCCGGUGAUCUAGCCAUGGGCAGGUUGAAGGUUGGGUAACACUAACUGGAGGACCGAACCGACUAAUGUUGAAAAAUUAGCGGAUGACUUGUGGCUGGGGGUGAAAGGCCAAUCAAACCGGGAGAUAGCUGGUUCUCCCCGAAAGCUAUUUAGGUAGCGCCUCGUGAAUUCAUCUCCGGGGGUAGAGCACUGUUUCGGCAAGGGGGUCAUCCCGACUUACCAACCCGAUGCAAACUGCGAAUACCGGAGAAUGUUAUCACGGGAGACACACGGCGGGUGCUAACGUCCGUCGUGAAGAGGGAAACAACCCAGACCGCCAGCUAAGGUCCCAAAGUCAUGGUUAAGUGGGAAACGAUGUGGGAAGGCCCAGACAGCCAGGAUGUUGGCUUAGAAGCAGCCAUCAUUUAAAGAAAGCGUAAUAGCUCACUGGUCGAGUCGGCCUGCGCGGAAGAUGUAACGGGGCUAAACCAUGCACCGAAGCUGCGGCAGCGACACUGUGUGUUGUUGGGUAGGGGAGCGUUCUGUAAGCCUGUGAAGGUGUACUGUGAGGUAUGCUGGAGGUAUCAGAAGUGCGAAUGCUGACAUAAGUAACGAUAAAGCGGGUGAAAAGCCCGCUCGCCGGAAGACCAAGGGUUCCUGUCCAACGUUAAUCGGGGCAGGGUGAGUCGACCCCUAAGGCGAGGCCGAAAGGCGUAGUCGAUGGGAAACAGGUUAAUAUUCCUGUACUUGGUGUUACUGCGAAGGGGGGACGGAGAAGGCUAUGUUGGCCGGGCGACGGUUGUCCCGGUUUAAGCGUGUAGGCUGGUUUUCCAGGCAAAUCCGGAAAAUCAAGGCUGAGGCGUGAUGACGAGGCACUACGGUGCUGAAGCAACAAAUGCCCUGCUUCCAGGAAAAGCCUCUAAGCAUCAGGUAACAUCAAAUCGUACCCCAAACCGACACAGGUGGUCAGGUAGAGAAUACCAAGGCGCUUGAGAGAACUCGGGUGAAGGAACUAGGCAAAAUGGUGCCGUAACUUCGGGAGAAGGCACGCUGAUAUGUAGGUGAAGUCCCUCGCGGAUGGAGCUGAAAUCAGUCGAAGAUACCAGCUGGCUGCAACUGUUUAUUAAAAACACAGCACUGUGCAAACACGAAAGUGGACGUAUACGGUGUGACGCCUGCCCGGUGCCGGAAGGUUAAUUGAUGGGGUCAGCGCAAGCGAAGCUCUUGAUCGAAGCCCCGGUAAACGGCGGCCGUAACUAUAACGGUCCUAAGGUAGCGAAAUUCCUUGUCGGGUAAGUUCCGACCUGCACGAAUGGCGUAAUGAUGGCCAGGCUGUCUCCACCCGAGACUCAGUGAAAUUGAACUCGCUGUGAAGAUGCAGUGUACCCGCGGCAAGACGGAAAGACCCCGUGAACCUUUACUAUAGCUUGACACUGAACAUUGAGCCUUGAUGUGUAGGAUAGGUGGGAGGCUUUGAAGUGUGGACGCCAGUCUGCAUGGAGCCGACCUUGAAAUACCACCCUUUAAUGUUUGAUGUUCUAACGUGGACCCGUGAUCCGGGUUGCGGACAGUGUCUGGUGGGUAGUUUGACUGGGGCGGUCUCCUCCUAAAGAGUAACGGAGGAGCACGAAGGUUGGCUAAUCCUGGUCGGACAUCAGGAGGUUAGUGCAAUGGCAUAAGCCAGCUUGACUGCGAGCGUGACGGCGCGAGCAGGUGCGAAAGCAGGUCAUAGUGAUCCGGUGGUUCUGAAUGGAAGGGCCAUCGCUCAACGGAUAAAAGGUACUCCGGGGAUAACAGGCUGAUACCGCCCAAGAGUUCAUAUCGACGGCGGUGUUUGGCACCUCGAUGUCGGCUCAUCACAUCCUGGGGCUGAAGUAGGUCCCAAGGGUAUGGCUGUUCGCCAUUUAAAGUGGUACGCGAGCUGGGUUUAGAACGUCGUGAGACAGUUCGGUCCCUAUCUGCCGUGGGCGCUGGAGAACUGAGGGGGGCUGCUCCUAGUACGAGAGGACCGGAGUGGACGCAUCACUGGUGUUCGGGUUGUCAUGCCAAUGGCACUGCCCGGUAGCUAAAUGCGGAAGAGAUAAGUGCUGAAAGCAUCUAAGCACGAAACUUGCCCCGAGAUGAGUUCUCCCUGACCCUUUAAGGGUCCUGAAGGAACGUUGAAGACGACGACGUUGAUAGGCCGGGUGUGUAAGCGCAGCGAUGCGUUGAGCUAACCGGUACUAAUGAACCGUGAGGCUUAACCUUACAACGCCGAAGGUGUUU
rnacentral:rRNA from 1 species